UUAUUUGAGAGUUUGAUCCUGGCUCAGGAUGAACGCUGGCGGCGUGCCUAACACAUGCAAGUUGAGCGAUUUACUUCGGUAAAGAGCGGCGGACGGGUGAGUAACGCGUGGGUAACCUACCCUGUACACACGGAUAACAUACCGAAAGGUAUGCUAAUACGGGAUAAUAUAUUUGAGAGGCAUCUCUUAAAUAUCAAAGGUGAGCCAGUA
rnacentral:rRNA from 1 species